rnacentral:lncRNA from 1 species
CCCCCCCCCCCCCCCCCGUCCCCCCCCCCCCCCCCCCCCCCGCGGGAUGGGGGGCGCGGGGGGGGGGGGCCGCAGAGCGGGUCCCGGCCUGGCCCCGCUGAGGGGGGGGUCCGGGGGGGUCGCCACACGCGGCCCCCAGCCCCGUCCCGCAGCCCCGGGGGGGGCGCCAGGGCCCUGUGCCCUGGGUGAGCGGUGACACCAGGCCCCGGGGGGACACCGCGCCGUGUGGCCUGGGUGGCAGCAGGGCCCUGUGCCACGGGUGACAUGGGCACACGGCCCAUGGGUGACACCAGGCCCCUGUCCCCUCGGUGCCCGUGCCCUGCACCCACGGGAUGCAGGAGGGGCGAAGCAGGGAGGGAAGAGCCAAGAGAGGGACAGAGCGGGGACACACAGGUGUGACAAAGGCACGUUGAGCAGACAUCACCGGGGCCUCCAUUCCGAGCAGCCCCCCAGGACCACCAGGCCCUGCACCUCCUGGCCAGGACGGCCCGGUCACCGUGUACAGGUGGCACAACUCACCUGGGUCACCUCUGCUCUUUCUUUUUGCUUUUAUCCAUGUGCGGGGCUGGGUUUAACCCCACCAAACAGACGCCACAUCCAGCAGGCUGAGGACAAGGGGAGCUCCUCGGCUUUUAUCCAACAGAGCGGGGAUCCCUAGGGCAGCGAGAGGACACCUGGAUCAUCCGUGGCUUCUCAGGGACCUGUAGGUCUCAUGCCGCUUGUCAGGAGACACAAGCUGCUAUACCCACACGCCAGACACCUUUCAGGAAUAUCACAACGCAGAUAUAAAAAAGGGGGCAGGCGGCAGUGGGGUGCUGCAGUCUGUGCCCGGUAAAACAACUCUCAGAUCGCUUUACACCACAGAGGGAGGCUCUGAACAACGGCAGGCACAACCCCACGGCACUGCUGAGCCAUGGGCUGAGCCUCUGGUCCCCUGCGAGGAGAAUUCCUGCUUGUUUGGGGCAGCAGCAAUGCAGUCACAUUUUAAAGCCAUUAUCCUUCCAGAAAACAGAGCAGGGGAUGCGCUCCCACCCAGCUCAGGGCAGAGAAGCAGCCGUCAGACCCCAGCAGGUUCCAUUUCUAAAUCCGUGUAGACACACACAGGAAACCAAAAGAGGCAGAAAUUAGCAGGCUGAGCCUCGUAUCUCAUUAAGGUUGCUUUCCAAAUGUCCCAACAACAAGGGAUUUCUGUUGUUCCUCGCGUAUGAACCACAGGAUUUUUUCAAAAAAGGAGUUUUUCAAGCAAUAAAUCAUCUGAAUGGGAAGAUUGGCA